GAAUAGCCGGGGAGGGUCAUUGGAAACUGGGGAACUUGAGUGCAGAAGAGGAGAGUGGAAUUCCACGUGUAGCGGUGAAAUGCGUAGAGAUGUGGAGGAACACCAGUGGCGAAGGCGACUCUCUGGUCUGUAACUGACGCUGAGGCGCGAAAGCGUGGGGAGCGAACAGGAUUAGAUACCCUGGUAGUCCACGCCGUAAACGAUGAGUGCUAAGUGUUAGAGGGUUUCCGCCCUUUAGUGCUGCAGCAAACGCAUUAAGCACUCCGCCUGGGGAGUACGGUCGCAAGACUGAAACUCAAAGGAAUUGACGGGGGCCCGCACAAGCGGUGGAGCAUGUGGUUUAAUUUGUUUUUUACGCGAAGAACCUUACCAGGUCUUGACAUCCUCUGACAACCCUAGAGAUAGGGCUUCCCCUUCGGGGGCAGAGUGACAGGUGGUGCAUGGUUGUCGUCAGCUCGUGUCGUGAGAUGUUGGGUUAAGUCCCGCAACGAGCGCAACCCUUGAUCUUAGUUGCCAGCAUUCAGUUGGGCACUCUAAGGUGACUGCCGGUGACAAACCGGAGGAAGGUGGGGAUGACGUCAAAUCAUCAUGCCCCUUAUGACCUGGGCUACACACGUGCUACAAUGGGCAGAACAAAG
rnacentral:rRNA from 1 species